UAUAGCUUUCUAUAAGAUUGUCAUUAGAAUGACCUCUGAGGAAAUCCCUUGAUAGCUGAGCAUUUCCUGGGACAGCUGCUCCGCGCUACACUCUGCAUAAGGUGCUGUCUUCAGUCUCAGAGACCCCAGGGACAAGAAGACCUCAGGAACAAGAAGGAAGAGUUCCCUGGAAACACCUGCUACUAGUUAACCCCACCACCACCACCAAGGAAGAAACCGGACAGCAAGCGAGUGACCACGAUACAGCACGAGGACAACUUUUCCCUCCCUUGAAAGCCAACUAGGGAAACCCUGUUGAGCAUCAUCAUGUGACUCAGCUGAAACACAUCUGCGGGCACAUCAUCUGCUUCAAGACCCAGCUCUCUUUUCUAUGGUAUGCAUACUGUUUAUAUGUUUAUAUGAAGGGUCUAUAAAUAUAAAGAUAUAUAGGGUGUGGUCCUUGAGAUGAGCUUACUAAGUGGCCCCAGGCUGACCUUAGUCACAAUCCUUUUGCCUGGGUUUCUUAAAUUCUGAGAUUAAACAAACACUGGUGUGCUUG
rnacentral:lncRNA from 1 species